CCUACGGGAGGCAGCAGUGAGGAAUAUUGGUCAAUGGGAGAGAUCCUGAACCAGCCAAGCCGCGUGAGGGAAGACGGCCCUAUGGGUUGUAAACCUCUUUUGUCGGAGAACAAAACCCGGGACGUGUCCCGGACUGCGUGUAUCCGAAGAAAAAGCAUCGGCUAACUCCGUGCCAGCAGCCGCGGUAAUACGGAGGAUGCGAGCGUUAUCCGGAUUUAUUGGGUUUAAAGGGUGCGUAGGCGGUCCGUUAAGUCAGCGGUAAAAUUGCGGGGCUCAACCCCGUCGAGCCGUUGAAACUGGCAGACGUGAGUGGGGGAGAAGUACGCGGAAUGCGGGGUGGAGCGGUGAAAGGCAGAGAGAGCGCGGAGAACUCCGAUUGGGAAGGCAGCGUACCGGCGCCAGACUGAAGGUGAGGCACGAAAGGGUGGGGAUCGAACAGGAUUAGAUACCCUUGUAGUC
rnacentral:rRNA from 1 species